UCAGCCAUAUCACGUUGAAACACCGGUUCCCGUGCGAUCACCGAAGAUAAGCAACGUCAAGCGUGGUCAGUACCUGGAUGGGCGAGCGCUUAGGAAUACCAGGUGUUGUAA